AGUGAACGCUGGCGGUAGGCCUAACACAUGCAAGUCGAACGGCAGCACAGUAAGAGCUUGCUCUUACGGGUGGCGAGUGGCGGACAGGUGAGGAAUACAUCGGAAUCUACUUUUUCGUGGGGGAUAACGUAGGGAAACUUACGCUAAUACCGCAUACGACCUACGGGUGAAAGCAGGGGAUCUUCGGACCUUGCGCGAUUGAAUGAGCCGAUGUCGGAUUAGCUAGUUGGCGGGGUAAAGGCCCACCAAGGCGACGAUCCGUAGCUGGUCUGAGAGGAUGAUCAGCCACACUGGAACUGAGACACGGUCCAGACUCCUACGGGUGGCAGCAGUGGGGAAUAUUGGACAAUGGGCGCAAGCCUGAUCCAGCCAUACCGCGUGGGUGAAGAAGGCCUUCGGGUUGUAAAGCCCUUUUGUUGGGAAAGAAAAGCAGCAGGUUAAUACCCCGCUGUUCUGACGGUACCCAAAGAAUAAGCACCGGCUAACUUCGUG
rnacentral:rRNA from 1 species